rnacentral:rRNA from 1 species
GAUCCUGGCUCAGGAUGAACGCUGGCGGCAUGCCUAAGACAUGCAAGUCGAACGAGAUGGCCCAGUGAAGGUUGAGUGCUUGCACAAGACUGAAUCUGGAUUCCCAUCUAGUGGCAGACGGGUGAGUAACACGUGGGUGACCUACCUUUUCGUUGGGGAUAACAGUUGGAAACGAUUGCUAAUACCGAAUAAAAUGUAAGAGUCAAUUUUACAUUGAAAGGAGCCUUUAAAGCUUCGCGAUUAG